UGAAAUUGUGUCCUGCGGUGUCGGUCUACCGAAUGCGGUACGACAGGCACGUCUGCGGGGCUUCUCGCCGGUGCGUCCACCGCCGGCGUGUGUCGGUCGGCCUCACGGUCGGCCGCGCACCGAGGCGGGCCGUCGCGGCUGUUUACUUUGAACAAAUUAGAGUGCUCAAAGCGGGCUAACACUUGCCUGAAUAUUGUACGCAUGGAAUAAUAGAAUAGGACCUCGGUUCUGUUUUGUUGGCUUUCUGAUACCAGAGGUAAUGAUUAAUAGGGACGACUGGGGGCAUUCGUAUUGAGACGUUAGAGGUGAAAUUCUUGGAUCGUCGCAAGACGGACUAAAGCGAAAGCAUUUGCCAAAGGUGUUUUCAUUAAUCAAGAACGAAAGUUAGAGGUUCGAAGGCGAUUAGAUACCGCUGUAGUUCUAACCAUAAAUGAUGCCAGCCAGCGAUCCGCCGAAGUUUCAUAAUUUUAACCCGGUGGGCAGCUCCCGGGAAACCAAAGCUUUCGGGCUCCGGGGGGAGUAUGGUUGCAAAGCUAAACU
rnacentral:rRNA from 1 species